rnacentral:rRNA from 1 species
AGGAUGAACGCUGGCGGCGUGCCUAAUACAUGCAAGUCGAGCGAACGGACGAGAAGCUUGCUUCUCUGAUGUUAGCGGCGGACGGGUGAGUAACACGUGGAUAACCUACCUAUAAGACUGGGAUAACUUCGGGAAACCGGAGCUAAUACCGGAUAAUAUUUUGAACCGCAUGGUUCAAAAGUGAAAGACGGUCUUGCUGUCACUUAUAGAUGGAUCCGCGCUGCAUUAGCUAGUUGGUAAGGUAACGGCUUACCAAGGCAACGAUGCAUAGCCGACCUGAGAGGGUGAUCGGCCACACUGGAACUGAGACACGGUCCAGACUCCUACGGGAGGCAGCAGUAGGGAAUCUUCCGCAAUGGGCGAAAGCCUGACGGAGCAACGCCGCGUGAGUGAUGAAGGUCUUCGGAUCGUAAAACUCUGUUAUUAGGGAAGAACAUAUGUGUAAGUAACUGUGCACAUCUUGACGGUACCUAAUCAGAAAGCCACGGCUAACUACGUGCCAGCAGCCGCGGUAAUACGUAGGUGGCAAGCGUUAUCCGGAAUUAUUGGGCGUAAAGCGCGCGUAGGCGGUUUUUUAAGUCUGAUGUGAAAGCCCACGGCUCAACCGUGGAGGGUCAUUGGAAACUGGAAAACUUGAGUGCAGAAGAGGAAAGUGGAAUUCCAUGUGUAGCGGUGAAAUGCGCAGAGAUAUGGAGGAACACCAGUGGCGAAGGCGACUUUCUGGUCUGUAACUGACGCUGAUGUGCGAAAGCGUGGGGAUCAAACAGGAUUAGAUACCCUGGUAGUCCACGCCGUAAACGAUGAGUGCUAAGUGUUAGGGGGUUUCCGCCCCUUAGUGCUGCAGCUAACGCAUUAAGCACUCCGCCUGGGGAGUACGACCGCAAGGUUGAAACUCAAAGGAAUUGACGGGGACCCGCACAAGCGGUGGAGCAUGUGGUUUAAUUCGAAGCAACGCGAAGAACCUUACCAAAUCUUGAC